AUUUACUGUUGUCUCCAAGACACUGGCAAUUGUGUGGCUUUCUUGGCUUUUCAUUCCAUGAAAGGCUCUUUCAUCCCAGCUCCUCCGGCGCCUGGGGAGCUGGAUGGGAAGGGAAGAAAGAGGUGUAACAGGACUCUGUGAACACGGCUCUGUAUUGUGCUCCACUGUGAUAUCCUGCUUUCUAUCGCUUUCUAUUUCUGGCUAAGUCCCUGGACAGCUACCUGAAUGAAACAUAUGGAAUGUUUUUUAAUCCUAUCAUUACUCACCGAGGUAUGGAAGUCACAACUCUGGCACCUCACUGCCUCACUCAUUUAAAAUGCCUUUUGCUAUUUUUUUAAGUGAGAGAAGAAAAGAAAAGAGUAGAAAGAGAGAGAACAAACUCAGUCAAUGAAGAAACAAAAGUGAGUCCCUGGGGCUAGCAAGAGACAUUGCCAAAUCUUCGGAGACUUCCACACACUGACAAAAAUGUGGAAGCAACACAACAUGCGUCACAUACAGGCGCCGAGGAGCACACAGGAGCCAAAGCUAUAAAAAACUUGCUCUAAAAUUUCAGAGAAGUGAAAUUCUCUUCUCAAAGGUGUUGAGAACUGGCCCCGGCAGCCUCCCAAGCUUUAGUAAAAGAAGCAUGAAAUGGCUGUCAGAGAUGAAAUGCCUAUAAAAAUUUGUUAAACUGCAAAGACAGGAACUAUAUCUUUUUAGCUUUUACUCCAUAGCAUUGAACACAAAAAUACUUCUGGGCUGGGACCUUGAGCAGGGUAGCACGGGAGUGAAUUUGAUCCAGGCUACAGAAGGAUUUUGCUGGCUUUCUAAACUAUUGGGUAAAGAAAGCAGGUACAACCCAAGUCACCAGAGCUCAUAAAAGACGUGUGCACUGUCGCAUCUAUGUGAAGUAUUUCCAUGACCCGAGCAUUGACUACAGGACUGUGCUGGAGGAAGCUGGAUCAAGGUACCAAGCCUAUAUUCGUCUACUGUGGACAUCGUUUCCGUGCCAUGAAAUUUCCCUGGAAUCUGUAGGAGGCAAACCUGGGGUUAAAGCCUGAAUUUGCCAUUUAAUAAUGAGAAAAUCUUGGAAAAGUAAGUUAAACUUUUGUGGCCUGUUUUCUCACCCACACAAUGGAGAUAGUCU
ensembl:lncRNA